rnacentral:rRNA from 1 species
CCUACGGGAGGCAGCAGUGAGGAAUAUUGGUCAAUGGACGCGAGCCUGAACCAGCCAAGUAGCGUGAAGGAUGACUGCCCUACGGGUUGUAAACUUCUUUUAUAAAGGAAUAAAAUGAGGCACGUGUGCCUUUUUGUAUGUACUUUAUGAAUAAGGAUCGGCUAACUCCGUGCCAGCAGCCGCGGUAAUACGGAGGGUCCGAGCGUUAUCCGGAUUUAUUGGGUUUAAAGGUAGCGUAGAUGGGUUGUUAAGUCAGUUGUGAAAGUUUGCGGCUCAACCGUAAAAUUGCAAUUGAUACUGGUAGUCUUGAGUACAGUUGAGGUAGGCGGAAUUCGUGGUGUAGCGGUGAAAUGCUUAGAGAUCACGAAGAACUCCGAUUGCGAAGGCAGCUUACUAAACUGAGACUGACAUUGAUGCUCGAAAGUGUGGGUAUCAAACAGGAUUAGAUACCCGAGUAGUC